CACACACACACACACACACAUAGGCAAAGGAAAGAGAUGUGAAAAAAAAAAAGCAUACUCAGCUUCAUUUUCUUUCCCUGCAUCAAACAAUGUACAAUGGGAUCAGUUAAUAGAUUUUUGGUGGUGUGAGUAUUUAUUUAUUUAUUUUUAUUUAUUUACUGCAACAACUUACAAGCUUACAAAAACAACAAAAAGAAUUGUAAGAGUUUGGGGCAAAAACAACAGACAAUUAUUCCUAUAACGUGCUACCUAAAAUCAAAAUUCAAAUUAAAAAAGUGAUUUUAAUGAAAAAACAAACAAUCUAAAGCUCAUGAAGCUGUUCUCUCCACUGCAUCUCAAUUUGAAUCUGACCAUUCUUGGAGCCUAUAAGAUGGUACUUCUCAUUGAUCCUUCUGUUGCUAACCACAUCCGCAAGACUGAUGUCCACAUAACCCAGAGAUUCCUGAUCAAACAACAAGGAAAUAUGAAAAAUUUUUGUUUGACUAAAGCCACCGUAAAUGCUAUAAUUCAUCUAAAUGCUGCACAUAAUUAACCAAAAACUACAACAAAUCCAAGAAAUGGAGCUUCUGCUCAUAAACAACCUUUAGUUUUCAUUCAACCAUAUGUCAUGAUAGAGAAAGCAACUCCAGUGGAAAACUUCCAGACAACACUACAGCCUAAAAAACCAACAUUCCUUUCUUUCAUGAAAUAUAUUUCUAUAAUCUAGGAAUGUGCAAAGUUCCAUGAUCUUCUAAGACAGCAUGGCACAACGAAUUAAAGUUUAAUCAAGCCAUGCCAAAGUUCAAAAUGAUCUGCUAGAUUUCUGUGUUCUUAGUACUUUGAGCCUGAUGAGAAAAAUUAAAUUCCAUAGAAAUUGAACAGAAUUCUUUUCUUUUUCAGGUUCAAUGCAUAAAAUAGAAAUGGUGCUGCAUCAGCAUAUUAUAAUCACAACUGAAGUGGAAAUAAUUACACUUUCAGUAGCAUUCUCUCCCAAUACUUUGAAUAAAGAUAUAAGUAAAUUAUGCAACUCAUACCUUAGGAUGCAACAAGCCCAUCCUCGAUGUAGUGCUAACAACUUCUACACGUAGCUUAUCGUUAGUGGGAGGCUCAUCCAACAUGAACUGGAACUCCUCCUCCCAUCUAGGAUCUCGGUUCUUCUUU
rnacentral:misc_RNA from 1 species